AUGGAUACCGAAUGGGAAUUAAAAUUUCCUCUGGUAACCGUGCGAGCCCUAGAGCGUAUUGAGGCUUUAUCGGAUCAUGCACCCAUCAUUCUGGAUUCUAAUUCUACGAACCCAGCUACCCGACGCCCUUUCAAAUUUGAAUUGGGAUGGAUGCAUAGGGAUGGAUUUGUAGACAUGAUCAAGAAUAUUUGGGAGAGGCCCGCUGUUGGUCGUACACAUAUUCAGAGAUGGAACUUUAAAAUAAGGGCCAUGAGGCAACACCUCUCUGGAUGGGCAAAACAUACCAACGGGAUUUAUAAAAAAGAAAAACAACGGCUCUCUACCAUUAUUGAUGACCUCGACAAAAUUGCAGAGACGCGCAUCUUAUCUCAACAAGAGAUUGAAUUAAAAAAUCAAUCUAAUGAGAAGAUUGCGCGUCUUCUGCGAGAAGAGGAGAUCAAAUACUACCAGAGAUCCAAAGCCGAUUUCAUUUUGAUGGGUGAUAGUAAUACAAGAUACUUCCAAUUGGUCGCUAAUGGGCGGCAUAGGAAGAAAUGUAUUUAUAGUCUCCAACAAAUGAGGGGCGGAUCGAAGGUCAAGAGGAGCUCAAAAAUUAUAUCACCAAAUACUACAAAUCUCUGUUCGGAGCGCCGGCUGAAGGGAAUUUCACCCUCGACGAGACCCGAACAGAUGACAUUCCACAAGUCACGACAGAAGAAAACGAUAUUCUGA
rnacentral:rRNA from 1 species